rnacentral:tRNA from 1 species
AGGAGGAUGGUCAAGUGGUAAGACGACAGAUUCUGGCUCUGUAAUCGAGGGUUCGAUCCCUUCUCCUCCUG